CGGGAUUGUUGAAUACGGGGCUAGAGAGAGGGGCAUAUCCUAACAUCAACAAUGGACAUUUAUGAAAAGCCAAAUUGACAAGAGUUCCUCGCUGGCACCCCACCUCCCUCAGUCACCCUCGCUGGGUCCCAGGGAGACAAUUCCUGUGGACAAGGAGCCAGCCAUCCUCACCAACUGACAACCAACAGCCUCCCACAGGGAAGUCUUAGAAGGUCCCAGAAUCAUAGAUUAAGAGCUCUAAGGGACCUCGGAGGUUGUGCAGUUCAACUCACUCAUUGUACAGAAGAGGAAACCGGGUCCAGUGGGGCAAGUCCUGGCCUAGGAAU